AUGGCCACCUGGCCGGCAUCCCAACCAGCCUUGCCGGACGGGGAGCAGUGGGACUGGUCUUUGCCUCAGGAAAACUUGCAUGCACAUCUGGCACGCGCGCAAGUCAAGCACAAGAAGUUCACGGAUCUGAAUCGAACAGAGCGGGCGUUUCAAGUCGGGGAGCGGGUUCUUCUGAAACUGCAACCAUAUGUUCAGAAGUCCGUGGCGAGCCGCCCCUGCCCAAAGCUGGCGUUCAAGUUCUUUGGCCCUUUCCCUGUCAUCGCCAGAAUUGGACCUGCAGCAUACAAACUGGACCUCCCUACCGACAGUAAAAUCCAUCCUGUGUUUCACGUCUCGCAGUUGAAGCCUUUCACCCCCAACUACAGUCUGGUGUUCUCUGAACUUCCGGUCACUACGGAUCUGUCCACUCAGGAGACAGUACCAGUGAAGAUACUUGAUUGCAGAAUGAUGAAGAAAGGCAGCACACCCGUGAUUCAACUACAAAUAGCCUGGGACACAUUUCCUCCGACGAUCAUCUGGAAAGAUUACGACGUGCUCCGCCGGCGAUACCCGCAUGCAAGCAUCUGGGAAGACGACGCAACAGUAGAAGAAGGGCGUUCUCAAGGAGGGGAGAAUGUCACCGCGGCAGUGCAAGGCACCACCGCGUGA
rnacentral:rRNA from 1 species